rnacentral:rRNA from 1 species
AGAGUUUGAUCCUGGCUCAGGAUGAACGCUGGCGGCGUGCUUAACACAUGCAAGUCGAACGAUGAUCCCAGCUUGCUGGGGGAUUAGUGGCGAACGGGUGAGUAACACGUGAGUAACCUGCCCUUAACUCUGGGAUAAGCCUGGGAAACUGGGUCUAAUACCGGAUAUGACUCCUCAUCGCAUGGUGGGGGGUGGAAAGCUUUAUUGUGGUUUUGGAUGGACUCGCGGCCUAUCAGCUUGUUGGUGAGGUAAUGGCUCACCAAGGCGACGACGGGUAGCCGGCCUGAGAGGGUGACCGGCCACACUGGGACUGAGACACGGCCCAGACUCCUACGGGAGGCAGCAGUGGGGAAUAUUGCACAAUGGGCGAAAGCCUGAUGCAGCGACGCCGCGUGAGGGAUGACGGCCUUCGGGUUGUAAACCUCUUUCAGUAGGGAAGAAGCGAAAGUGACGGUACCUGCAGAAGAAGCGCCGGCUAACUACGUGCCAGCAGCCGCGGUAAUACGUAGGGCGCAAGCGUUAUCCGGAAUUAUUGGGCGUAAAGAGCUCGUAGGCGGUUUGUCGCGUCUGCCGUGAAAGUCCGGGGCUCAACUCCGGAUCUGCGGUGGGUACGGGCAGACUAGAGUGAUGUAGGGGAGACUGGAAUUCCUGGUGUAGCGGUGAAAUGCGCAGAUAUCAGGAGGAACACCGAUGGCGAAGGCAGGUCUCUGGGCAUUAACUGACGCUGAGGAGCGAAAGCAUGGGGAGCGAACAGGAUUAGAUACCCUGGUAGUCCAUGCCGUAAACGUUGGGCACUAGGU